UCCUGUACUGAAAAAAGGGGACGGAGGGGAUUAAGUCGUUUGCGGCACAUGCGGCGUAAACGACUUAAUCCCCUCCGUCCCCUUUUUCUUCA
rnacentral:miRNA from 1 species